rnacentral:rRNA from 1 species
GACGAACGCUGGCGGCGUGCCUAAUACAUGCCAGUUGAGCGCUGAAGGUUGGUCCUUGUACCAACUGGAUGAGCAGCGAACGGGUGAGUAACGCGUGGGGAAUCUGCCUUUGAGCGGGGGACAACAUUUGGAAACGAAUGCUAAUACCGCAUAAAAACUUUAAACACAAGUUUUAAGUUUGAAAGAUGCAAUUGCAUCACUCAAAGAUGAUCCCGCGUUGUAUUAGCUAGUUGGUGAGGUAAAGGCUCACCAAGGCGAUGAUACAUAGCCGACCUGAGAGGGUGAUCGGCCACAUUGGGACUGAGAAACGGCCCAAACUCCUACGGGAGGCAGCAGUAGGGAAACUGCGGCAAAGGACGAAAGUCUGACCGAGAAACGCCGCGUGAGUGAAGAAGGUUUUCGGAUCGUAAAACUCUGUUGGUAGAGAAGAACGAUAGUGAGAGUGGAAAGCUCAUCAAGUGACGGUAACUACCCAGAAAGGGACGGCUAACUACGUG